rnacentral:lncRNA from 7 species
CAAAAUUGGGCUUUACAUAAGAUUAUUGGGAAGUAUGUGGAGAAGAUGGAGUUGCCGAAGAGCAUGGAUAUCCAGGGGUGCAACAUCUGGCUCAACAUAGUUUUUGAGCUGAAUGGUCUGGAGUACAGGCCCUAUCCCAAGGACGAGGAUGAUGAGGAAGAUAGAGAAGCUGACAUCGAGGUAAAGGGAAACGAGGUGGCGAAGGGGAGCAACGCGGAUGGAGGGGGGUCCAAAUGAAAAGCCCCACACCAAAUGAUGAGGACAUCACUCCCAUGGAUUCAAACAACACUCCCCUAGUUGAUGUUCAAGGUCCG